GAUGAAGAACGUAGCGAAAUGCGAUAGGUAGUGUGAAUUGCAGAAUUCAGUGAAUCAUCGAAUCUUUGAACGCACAUUGCGCCCCUUGGUAUCCCGAGGGGCAUGCCUGUUCGAGCGUCAUUUCACCACUCAAGCCUGGCUUGGUGUUGGGCGACGUCCUCUUUGGGGACGCGCCUCGAAACGCUCGGCGGCGUGGCACCGGCUUUAAGCGUAGCAGAAUCUUUCGCUUUGGAAGUCGGGGCCCCGUCUGCCGGAAGACCUGCUCGCAAGGUUGACCUCGGAUCAGGCAGGGAUACCCGCUGAACUUAAGCAUAUCAAUAAGCGGAGGA
rnacentral:misc_RNA from 1 species